rnacentral:rRNA from 1 species
CUUCCGUAGGGUGAACCUGCGGAAGGAUCAUUAUAGAUUUAUUGAUACUUUGUGAAUGAAUUAUAAGCUUUAUGCGAAAUACUUUUUAUUAAUUUUAGUCUAAAAAAACGAAAUCAAAACCUUUAACAAUGGAUCUCUUGGUUCUCGUAUCGAUGAAGAACGCAGCAAAGCGCGAUAGAUAAUGUGAAUUGCAGACGUGAAUCAUUGAGUUUUUGAACGCACAUUGCACCUCUUUGGAGGUAUACUUGUGUGAGCGUCAUUUUUUCUCCACAUAUAUAUUAGUGGGUAAUGGUUCACUAUAUGGACUGAAAAAGAUUAUACACAGUUGUUAGACACAAGCUGUGGAAAAUUAUCAAAUUUUGACCUCAUAUCAAGUAAGAUCACCCGCUGAACUUAAGCAUAUCAAUAAGCGGAGGAA